UCCAACUUUAUUGACCGGAAGUGGCAUCGGCCACGCAGAGAGACUUCCGGUGCCGGCACGUACUUCACGGCGGUUCUUUUUGGAAAAAAAAUACUGCAUAUAUCUUCUUGUUUAAGGUUGCUUUGCCGUGUCACCAAAGUCAUCAAACCUGCGGACAAAGCUCAUCGGUCUCCAGAAUGGUGACGUUCCUCUGGGCGUCGACUUGUACCUCAAUGAUGGCGUCUGUGAGGGGGUCCGUGAUGACGUUCAACAGCUCGGGGGGCUCGCCGCUCUGGAUUUGGAAGGAGUCGAUGAUGAUCUUGGUGACCUCGUACAAGUACCCGGUGGCCACCUCCAGGGGCAGCAGCACCAGCACCGACAGCCAGUUGAAGAAGUCGUGCACCGUGGCGCCCGCGAAGGCCCUGUCACAGAUAACAGCUGAACUUUGACCUCUCUGUUGGUAGCCACAGUACACAGUACAUUGCCAGCAAGAUAGGAACGACCGUGUCUGCUUGCCGCCGCAAUAAACAGUGGCCUCGCGCUUACCUGCGGAAGACGCUGCGGUCCCCGGCCUGCGUCAUGGCAACCAGCGUGUUGGUGACCGAGGUGCCGAUGUUGGUGCCCAUGAUGAUGGGCACUGCCAGCUGCACCGUCAGCACUGCACACAUGCGCCCUGGCUGGGACUGACGUGCGGUCUUGGUACUCACGCCCGGAGGAGACCAUGCUGACCACGAUGGAGGACGAGGUGGACGAGCUCUGGACCAGCAGAGUCACCAGGACGCCGAUGACCAGACCAGCCAGAGGGUUGGACAAGACCGCGUUGUCCUGGAAAAUGUCCCCCGCCGCUUUGCCUGCGGGGGACACAGUGGAGGCACAUAUCUCAGCUUCUAUUUGUAUAUGAUGGUUGUUGUUUUUAUUUAUUUGUGUUUUGUUCCUUGCCUCCCACAAGCUGGAAGGCGGAGCUGAGGAUGUCCAGAGAGCAGAUGAACAUGUAGAGCAGGCCCAGCAGCACCAGCAGCUUCACCAGGGACACCAGCACCCUCAGCACCUUCCCCUUGCAGUCCAGCGCUGACACGGUCAAACACAUUAUUUGUACAUUCAAGAUAAUUAGUACUUUAUUUUAUAUUUUAACAAUCAGGACAAUUUUUUAAAACGUCUCUUCACUUCAAUAAUGUGCUCAAAUAAUCCCACUUUGUUUUUCCAUUUUUGGCUAUAAGUCUAUUUAAUAAAUCCUAAAUAAUGAUGAAAUAAAAUAAGGUAAUUAUAUUUCAUCAAAAUAAUAAGUCUAGAUAUAAGCGUCAAAGUUGGCGACACCGACCCCUCCUGCUGAGUCUUCUUACGCUCUGGCAGACCAGAUAGCACCAGACAUAUUUGUCUGGAUGUGUCUGUGGUGGGACUUGACAAAUAAAUGCAUGGUGCGACUAUUUAUACUAAUAUUAACACUAAUAAUUAGAGAUGUCCGAUAAUAUCGGUCUGCCGAUAUUAUCGGCCGAUAAAUGCGUUAAAAUGUAAUAUCGGAAAUUAUCGGUAUCGGUUUUUUUAUUAUCAGUAUCUUUUUUUUUUUUUUUUUUUUUUUUUUUUAAUUAAAUCCACAUAAAAAACACAAGAUACACUUACAAUUAGUGCACCAACCCAAAAAACCUCCCUCCCACCAUUUACACUCAUUCACACAAAAGGGUUGUUUCUUUCUGUUAUUAAUAUUCUGCUUCCUACAUUAUAUAUCAAUAUAUAUCAAUACAGUCUGCAAGGGAUACAGUCCGUAAGCACACUUGAUUGUGCGUGCUGCUGCUCCACUAAUAAUACUAACCUUUAACAGUUAAUUUUACAAAUUUUCAUUAAUUACUAGUUUCUAUGUAACUGUUUUUAUAUUGUUUUACUUUCUUUUUUAUUCAAGAAAAUGUUUUUAAUUUAUUUAGCUUAUUUUAUUUGAUUCGUUUUUUUAAAAAGUACCUUAUCUUCACCAUACCUGGUUGUCCAAAUUAGGCAUAAUAAUGUGUUAAUUCCACGACUGUAUAUAUCGGUUGAUAUCGGUAUCGGUUGAUAUCGGUAUCGGUAAUUAAAGAGUUGGACAAUAUCGGCAUAUCGGCAAAAAGCCAUUAUCGGACAUCCCUACUAAUAAUAGUAAUAGUGUUGUUUUGUACUUAAAUUCUAGCUGGCGCUUUAUAAGACACUUAAAAUUAGAAUUUAAUUCAGCAUAAUAAUCAAAGAUAGUGUAAAAAAUAAUACAAAUUUAUUACAAAACCCAAAACCAGCAAAGUUGUCACGUUGUGU